rnacentral:rRNA from 1 species
GACGACCUUUGGCGGCGUGCCUAAUACAUGCAAGUAGAACGCUGAAGAGAGGAGCUUGCUCUUCUUGGAUGAGUUGCGAACGGGUGAGCAACGCGUAGGUAACCUGCCUUGUAGCGGGGGAUAACUAUUGGAAACGAUAGCUAAUACCGCAUAACAAUGGAUGACACAUGUCAUUUAUUUGAAAGGGGCAAUUGCUCCACUACAAGAUGGACCUGCGUUGUAUUAGCUAGUAGGUGAGGUAAUGGCUCACCUAGGCGACGAUACAUAGCCGACCUGAGAGGGUGAUCGGCCACACUGGGACUGAGACACGGCCCAGACUCCUACGGGAGGCAGCAGUAGGGAAUCUUCGGCAAUGGGGGGAACCCUGACCGAGCAACGCCGCGUGAGUGAAGAAGGUUUUCGGAUCGUAAAGCUCUGUUGUAAGUCAAGAACGGGUGUGAGAGUGGAAAGUUCACACUGUGACGGUAGCUUACCAGAAAGGGACGGCUAACUACGUGCCAGCAGCCGCGGUAAUACGUAGGUCCCGAGCGUUGUCCGGAUUUAUUGGGCGUAAAGCGAGCGCAGGCGGUUUGAUAAGUCUGAAGUUAAAGGCUGUGGCUCAACCAUAGUUCGCUUUGGAAACUGUCAAACUUGAGUGCAGAAGGGGAGAGUGGAAUUCCAUGUGUAGCGGUGAAAUGCGUAGAUAUAUGGAGGAACACCGGUGGCGAAAGCGGCUCUCCGGUCUGUAACUGACGCUGAGGCUCGAAAGCGUGGGGAGCGAACAAGAUUAGAUACCCUGGUAGUCCACGCCGUAAACGA